UCAGCUAUUGGAGGCAUUGCCUGCCAGUGACAACUGUUUAACGGCCGCGGUAUCCUGACCGUGCAAAGGUAGCAUAAUCAUUUGUUCUCUAAAUAAGGACUUGUAUGAAUGGCCGCACGAGGGUUUUACUGUCUCUUACUUCCAAUCAGUGAAAUUGACCUUCCCGUGAAGAGGCGGGAAUGCACAAAUAAGACGAGAAGACCCUAUGGAGCUUUAACUAACCAACCCAAAGAGAAUAGAUUUAACCAUUAAGGAAUAACAACAAUCUCCAUGAGUUGGUAGUUUCGGUUGGGGUGACCUCGGAGAAUAAAAAAUCCUCCGAGCGAUUUUAAAGACUAGACCCACAAGUCAAAUCACUCUAUCGCUCAUUGAUCCAAAAACUUGAUCAACGGAACAAGUUACCCUAGGGAUAACAGCGCAAUCCUAUUCAAGAGUCCAUAUCGACAAUAGGGUUUACGACCUCGAUGUUGGAUCAGGACAUCCUGAUGGUGCAACCGCUAUCAAAGGUUCGUUUGUUCAACGAUUAAAGUCCUACGUGAUCUGAUUCAGACCGGA
rnacentral:rRNA from 1 species